GGGAAUUUGGUCUAGGGGUAUGAUUCCUGCUUCGGGUGCAGGAGGUCGGGGGUUCGAGUCCCCCAAUUCCCC
rfam:Coccomyxa subellipsoidea C-169, whole genome shotgun sequence.